rnacentral:rRNA from 1 species
AGUGAACGCUGGCGGUAGGCCUAACACAUGCCAGUCGAACGGCAGCACAGUAAGAGCUUGCUCUUACGGGUGGCGAGUGGCGGACGGGUGAGGAAUACAUCGGAAUCUACUUUUUCGUGGGGGAUAACGUGGGGAAACUUACGCUAAUACCGCAUACGACCUACGGGUGAAAGCAGGGGAUCUUCGGACCUUUCGCGAUUGAAUGAGCCGAUGUCGGAUUAGCUAGUUGGCGGGGUAAAGGCCCACCAAGGCGACGAUCCGUAGCUGGUCUGAGAGGAUGAUCAGCCACACUGGAACUGAGACACGGUCCAGACUCCUACGGGAGGCAGCAGUGGGGAAUAUUGGACAAUGGGCGCAAGCCUGAUCCAGCCAUACCGCGUGGGUGAAGAAGGCCUUCGGGUUGUAAAGCCCUUUUGUUGGGAAAGAAAAGCAGCAGGUUAAUACCCCGCUGUUCUGACGGUACCCAAAGAAUAAGCACCGGCUAACUUCGUG